rnacentral:rRNA from 1 species
GUUUGAUCCUGGCUCAGGAUGAACGCUAGCUACAGGCUUAACACAUGCAAGUCGAGGGGAAACGACAUCGAAAGCUUGCUUUUGAUGGGCGUCGACCGGCGCACGGGUGAGUAACGCGUAUCCAACCUGCCCACCACUUGGGGAUAACCUUGCGAAAGUAAGACUAAUACCCAAUGAUAUCUCUAGAAGACAUCUGAAAGAGAUUAAAGAUUUAUCGGUGAUGGAUGGGGAUGCGUCUGAUUAGCUUGUUGGCGGGGUAACGGCCCACCAAGGCGACGAUCAGUAGGGGUUCUGAGAGGAAGGUCCCCCACAUUGGAACUGAGACACGGUCCAAACUCCUACGGGAGGCAGCAGUGAGGAAUAUUGGUCAAUGGACGAGAGUCUGAACCAGCCAAGUAGCGUGCAGGAUGACGGCCCUAUGGGUUGUAAACUGCUUUUAUAAGGGAAUAAAGUGAGUCUCGUGAGACUUUUUGCAUGUACCUUAUGAAUAAGGACCGGCUAAUUCCGUGCCAGCAGCCGCGGUAAUACGGAAGGUCCGGGCGUUAUCCGGAUUUAUUGGGUUUAAAGGGAGCGUAGGCCGGAGAUUAAGCGUGUUGUGAAAUGUAGACGCUCAACGUCUGCACUGCAGCGCGAACUGGUUUCCUUGAGUACGCACAAAGUGGGCGGAAUUCGUGGUGUAGCGGUGAAAUGCUUAGAUAUCACGAAGAACUCCGAUUGCGAAGGCAGCUCACUGGAGCGCAACUGACGCUGAAGCUCGAAAGUGCGGGUAUCGAACAGGAUUAGAUACCCUGGUAGUCCGCACGGUAAACGAUGGAUGCCCGCUGUUGGUCUGAAUAGGUCAGCGGCCAAGCGAAAGCAUUAAGCAUCCCACCUGGGGAGUACGCCGGCAA